rnacentral:rRNA from 1 species
AGCAUGUGGUUUAAUUCGAUGAUACGCGAGGAACCUUACCUGGGCUCAAAUGUAUGUUGACGUAUUCUGAAAGGGAUACUUCUUCGGACAAUAUACAAGGUGCUGCAUGGUUGUCGUCAGCUCGUGCCGUGAGGUGUCGGGUUAAGUCCCAUAACGAGCGCAACCCCUACUCAUUAGUUACCAUCAGGUAAGGCUGGGGACUCUAAUGAGACUGCCAUCGUAAGAUGUGAGGAAGGUGGGGAUGACGUCAAAUCAGCACGGCCCUUACGUCCGGGGCGACACACGUGUUACAAUGGGUGGUACAAAGGGCAGCUACCUGGCGACAGGAUGCUAAUCUCGAAAACCGCUCUCAGUUCGGAUCGGAGUCUGCAACCCGACUCCGUGAAGUUGGAUUCGCUAGUAAUCGCGCAUCAGCCAUGGCGCGGUGAAUACGUUCCCGGGCCUU